AGGAGCAACAGCCCCAGUGGCGGGGCCAGCUCUGGAAACCUGGAGUCAGCCCCCGCAGUAACUCCGGAGCUCUCCGUCUGCAGGGCCUGGAGGCUCCCGGGCGGG
rnacentral:pre_miRNA from 1 species